UACAGAGGGUGCAAGCGUUGUUCGGAAUUAUUGGGCGUAAAGGGCGCGUAGGCGGUUCGGCAAGUCUCUAGUGAAAUCUCUGGGCUCAACUCAGAGUCUGCUGGGGAAACUGCCGGGCUUGAGUGUGGGAGAGGAGAGUGGAAUUCCCGGUGUAGAGGUGAAAUUCGUAGAUAUUAGGAAGAACACCAGUGGCGAAGGCGGCUCACUGGCCCGGUACUGACGCUGAGGCGCGAAAGCGUGGGGAGCAAACAGG
rnacentral:rRNA from 1 species